rnacentral:rRNA from 1 species
GACGUAGGAGGCGAGCGUUAUCCGGAUUCACUGGGCGUAAAGCGCAUGUAGGCGGUUGUGUAAGUCCGAUGUUAAAGCCCCCUGGCUCAACUGGGGGGAGGUCAUUGGAGACUACUCGACUUGAGGGCAACAGAGGCACGUGGAACUCCUGGUGUAGUGGUGAAAUGCGUAGAGAUCAGGAAGAACACCCGUGGCGCAAGCGGCCACCUGGCAGAGCACUGACGCUGAGGCACGGAAA